rnacentral:lncRNA from 1 species
AGGAGUACCUCAACAAACAACAACUCCACGAAGCUCGAUGGACUGAGCAAGCGGCGAGGAGUCGUCGUAUGAUCUCGCUUGAGAGAAUGCAUUGGUGGAUGCAUUGCGAGAUCAAGUGGGGGAGUGACCCAAAGCAACUUAAAUGAAGGCACACUUGGAGUCGAAGUGGAGAUCGGACUCAAGGGAGGGCUGACCCGUGGAAUGGUGGGCGCGAGGGCCACCAUCAAC